GUGCGGGUUUCGGAUGGGAUCGGAUGUUCAUCAUGACGCCAAGUGCUGCGUCGUAGUUGGUAAUUGAUUGUUGCUCAAUUAGUGCUGCUCUUGAGGACCUGAACAAGAAGUUCGAGCUCUGAUUAUGAGUAAUUUGCAAGGAGUCUGGAACCAUUGGUCGUGGUGUUGUCGUCAGUCGAGAAAUGUCCUUGUGAUCCCUGCGUAGCAGAGUUACUCUGGUUAUUACCGACAAAGCUUAAGGGAUGCUGUAGGAAACACCUCUUGAAUAAAUGUGCAGUCAUAAAGAAGAGAAGAAGCACGUAUAACCAUCGCCCGUAUAGCAAGUGCAGAAGUCAAUUAGCAGAGUGGAAUCGGGAGUAUAAGUCGUUAUAAGCCAGGGAUGAAAUUGAGACAGAUGAAGGUUGAAUCCCGUUGAUUAUUGAGGGGGAUGCGAUUUGGCCAUUAAGGGUCUGGAUUGUGUACGUAUGUAGAUAAAACUAGAACGUUAGAUACAACAUGUAUAGCGAGUUAUCUUAUAUCCUACGUUGUUAUUUAUCUGAUCGUUUUUUUUCCGAUUAUUUAAACGUUCAAUCGCAUUUUUCUUUUUCUUUUCUCAGGUCGUAUUUUCAUUGAACGCAACGAAUCUCUGCAGCUCGGAAGCAUCGUUUCCGGUUCAGAGGGGAUCUCGUGUAUUCCGAGGGUUCGCGUACGUAGAGAAGACAGACGACAAAUCACCGCGUUUUAGCUGAAACCAAUUCUCAUUUCCCACCCUCUUUUCUGGAAGGUAGAUGAGGAAAAUAUUACAAUACUUAAGCUAAACGGACACAUUUCUCAAUCCGAGGUAACACAACAAACUACAAACACUAUUCUAUACACCCACACACAUGGUACAGAUACACAAGGUAAAGGUCAUUUGGUAAAGCUUGGUGAUCUGCUUGUGCUUUUUCUUAUUUGUUUUACGAAAAAGUAACAAUUUUAUUGCUUCAUUUAUUCAACUGAAACUGUGCGUAAUGUGUCACGCUCUGAAUUGGCAUGAAGCCAGCUUCGUCGUCCACAGUGGUGUUGUUUACGCCAAAUGUUCUCGAUUAUAUUCGAGUGUUGAUGUGACCGUGAAUGACCGAAAUUGGAGAACGUCUACUUUCACCGGUGAAUCUCAACAGAUGCCAAAAAGAAAAAUCGAAUACUUUCGUACAUCGUUGUACAUUCGUACAUUACUGCAUGGCGAAUUUCAACAAGUCAGAAAUAAGGGUAUUUAGCAAAUAUUUCGGACGUACAAUAAUCAAACGUGUGAAAGACGACAUUUUCCAGAUUUCGAUGUUUCACAGUUGUUUCGGAAUAUUUUAUUCCUCUAUUUAACGCUGGAAUUUUUCAUUUGCUUGCA